CCAAAGCAGCACAGCGGACACACCACGUUGUAAACAUAAAAAAGCGAAAGUCCCCACGUGUCAGCUCACCGAGUUGAUAGAUCUACGAAACCUCUGUAAGCCCAAGUGUGAGACUCGCAUUUUCCUGCCCAAACGCAAACUCGGAAGCUGUGACUCAGCGCCGUCCCCCGAUUCUUCCUCGUCUCACCCAUCAAGCUCAAUGAUUCACCGGAUGCUGUAGGGUUAGCUAUAGUGGUUAAACUAUGCCAAAGAGGGGAAGCUUGUUCUGUAAGCAGAUAAUCCAUGGGCUUCUUGGAGCUUCCAAGUCUUUUUCUUGAUUAUAAUUUGAUAGGGAAGCCAAUGUGGCUAAUUCUUUGGCAUCAACAACAUGAAGAACAGUGGUGUUGUUUAAGUUGAAGAUGGAAGAAGUUUGCCUCAAUAGCGAGCCAGU